rnacentral:rRNA from 1 species
UACGUAGGGUGCAAGCGUUGUCCGGAAUUAUUGGGCGUAAAGAGCUCGUAGGCGGUCUGUCGCGUCUGCUGUGAAAACUCGGGUCUUAACCCCGGGCCUGCAGUGGGUACGGGCAGACUAGAGUGCGGUAGGGGAGACUGGAAUUCCUGGUGUAGCGGUGAAAUGCGCAGAUAUCAGGAGGAACACCGGUGGCGAAGGCGGGUCUCUGGGCCGUAACUGACGCUGAGGAGCGAAAGCGUGGGGAGCGAACAGG